rnacentral:tRNA from 1 species
AACAUUGAAGUAAUAUUACUUUUAGUUUCGACCUAAUUUAAGGGUUUAUCCCCUUGUUA